rnacentral:rRNA from 1 species
GACGAACGCUGGCGGCGUGCCUAAUACAUGCAAGUAGAACGCUGAAGAGAGGAGCUUGCUCUUCUUGGAUGAGUUGCGAACGGGUGAGUAACGCGUAGGUAACCUGCCUUGUAGCGGGGGAUAACUAUUGGAAACGAUAGCUAAUACCGCAUAACAAUGGAUGAAACAUGUCAUUUAUUUGAAAGGGGCAAUUGCUCCACUACAAGAUGGACCUGCGUUGUAUUAGCUAGUAGGUGAGGUAAUGGCUCACCUAGGCGACGAUACAUAGCCGACCUGAGAGGGUGAUCGGCCACACUGGGACUGAGACACGGCCCAGACUCCUACGGGAGGCAGCAGUAGGGAAUCUUCGGCAAUGGGGGCAACCCUGACCGAGCAACGCCGCGUGAGUGAAGAAGGUUUUCGGAUCGUAAAGCUCUGUUGUAAGUCAAGAACGGGUGUGAGAGUGGAAAGUUCACACUGUGACGGUAGCUUACCAGAAAGGGACGGCUAACUACGUG